rnacentral:rRNA from 1 species
CAACAGCGUAUAUUAAAGUUGUUGCAGUUAAAAAGCUCGUAGUUGGAUUUGUGGCGUACGGUGGGUUCCGGGCACUUGUUGUCUGAGUAACUUGCUGUUGCCAUCCUUGGGUGGAACCUGUGUGGCAUUAGGUUGUCGUGCAGGGGAUGCCCAUCAUUUACUGUGAAAAAAUUAGAGUGUUCAAAGCAGGCUUAUGCCGUUGAAUAUAUUAGCAUGGAAUAAUGAGAUAGGACUUUUUUGCUAUUUUGUUGGUUUGCGCAAAGAGGUAAUGAUUAAUAGGGACAGUUGGGGGUAUUCGUAUUCCAUUGUCAGAGGUGAAAUUCUUGGAUUUUUGGAAGACGAACUACUGCGAAAGCAUUUACCAAGGAUGUUUUCAUUAA